GUUAUACUCCCUCAGUCUCAAAAUUCUUGUCUUAGAUUUGUUUAAAUAUAAAUGUAUCUAGUCACGUUUUAGUAUUUUAAUAUAUUCAUUUUUAGACAAACCUAAGACAAGAAUUUUAGGAUGAAGAGAGUAUUAG
rfam:Hordeum vulgare subsp. vulgare, WGS project CAJW01000000 data, contig: morex_contig_1573622